AUUGAACGCUGGCGGCAUGCCUUACACAUGCAAGUCGAACGGUAACGGGCCUUCGGGUGCCGACGAGUGGCGAACGGGUGGGUAAGACAUCGGCACGUGCCCGAUCGUGGGGGCUGACGAAGCGAAAGCAUUGCUAAUACCGCAUACGAUCUACGGAUGAAAGCCGUGGACCGCAAGGCCUUGUGCGGACGGAGCGGCCUAUGGCGGAGUAGGAAGUUGGUGUGAUUAAGGCCUACAAAGUCGACGAUCGGUAGCUGGGCUGGGAGUAUGAUCAGCCACACUAGGACUGAGACACGGUCCAGACUCCUACGGGAGGCAGCAGUGGGGAACUUUGGGCAAUGGGCGAAAGCCUGACCCAGCCAUGCCGCGUGCAGGAUGAAGGCCUUCGGAUUGUAAACUGCUUUUGUAAGGAACGAACAGCUUUCUAAUAAUACAGGAAGGUCAUGACGGUACCGUAAAAAAAAGCACCGGCUAACUACGUG
rnacentral:rRNA from 1 species